rnacentral:rRNA from 1 species
GAUGAACGCUGGCGGCGUGCCUAAUACAUGCAAGUCGAACGCACAGCGAAAGGUGCUUGCACCUUUCAAGUGAGUGGCGAACGGGUGAGUAACACGUGGACAACCUGCCUCAAGGCUGGGGAUAACAUUUGGAAACAGAUGCUAAUACCGAAUAAAACUCAGUGUCGCAUGACACAAAGUUAAAAGGCGCUUUGGCGUCACCUAGAGAUGGAUCCGCGGUGCAUUAGUUAGUUGGUGGGGUAAAGGCCUACCAAGACGAUGAUGCAUAGCCGAGUUGAGAGACUGAUCGGCCACAUUGGGACUGAGACACGGCCCAAACUCCUACGGGAGGCUGCAGUAGGGAAUCUUCCACAAUGGGCGAAAGCCUGAUGGAGCAACGCCGCGUGUGUGAUGAAGGCUUUCGGGUCGUAAAGCACUGUUGUAUGGGAAGAACAGCUAGAAUAGGGAAUGAUUUUAGUUUGACGGUACCAUACCAGAAAGGGACGGCUAAAUACGUGCCAGCAGCCGCGGUAAUACGUAUGUCCCGAGCGUUAUCCGGAUUUAUUGGGCGUAAAGCGAGCGCAGACGGUUGAUUAAGUCUGAUGUGAAAGCCCGGAGCUCAACUCCGGAAUGGCAUUGGAAACUGGUUAACUUGAGUGCAGUAGAGGUAAGUGGAACUCCAUGUGUAGCGGUGGAAUGCGUAGAUAUAUGGAAGAACACCAGUGGCGAAGGCGGCUUACUAGACUGUAACUGACGUUGAGGCUCGAAAGUGUGGGUAGCAAACAGGAUUAGAUACCCUGGUAGUCCACACCGUAAACGAUGAACACUAGGUGUUAGGAGGUUUCCGCCUCUUAGUGCCGAAGCUAACGCAUUAA